CUAACCCUUCUAGAAGAUCAUGUAUGUCUCUCCUCGCGCUCUGCCUCAUCACGG
rnacentral:sRNA from 1 species